rnacentral:rRNA from 1 species
CGAGACCGGUUCUCUACGGAGAAUCAGUGAUGAAGGUCAUACUUCCAAGAAAAGCCCGGAUUGCCAUAAAUACGAGAGGCCUGUACCCGAAACCGACACAGGUGGGGUGGUAGAGAAUACCGAGGGGCGCGAGAUAACUCUCUCUAAGGAACUCGGCAAAAUGACCCCGUAACUUCGGGAGAAGGGGUGCCACCGAGAGGUGGUCGCAGUGAAGAGUCCCAGGCGACUGUUUACCAAAAACAUAGGUCUCCGCGAAGUCGUAAGACGCGGUAUGGAGGCUGACGCCUGCCCAGUGCCGGAAGGUUAAGGAAGUUGGUCAGGGGGGAAACUCUUAAAGCUGACGACUGAAGCCCCGGUGAACGGCGGCCGUAACUAUAACGGUCCUAAGGUAGCGAAAUUCCUUGUCGGGUAAGUUCCGACCCGCACGAAAGGCGUAACGAUCUGGGAGCUGUCUCGGAGAGAGACUCGUCGAAAUAGGAAUGUCUGUGAAGAUACGGACUACCUGCACCUGGACAGAAAGACCCUAUGAAGCUUUACUGUAGCCUGGAAUUGGCUUCGGGCUUCGCUUGCGCAGAAUAGGUGGGAGGCGUAGAAGUGUUCCUUGUGGGGAAUGCAGAGCCAACGGUGAGAUACCACUCUGGCGAGGCUAGAAUUCUAACUGUUGCCCGUAAUCCGGGAAGAGGACAGUUUCAGGUGGGCAGUUUGACUGGGGCGGUCGCCUCCUAAAAGAUAACGGAGGCGCGCAAAGGUUCCCUCAGGCUGGUUGGAAAUCAGCCGGAGAGUGUAAAGGCACAAGGGAGCUUGACUGCGAGAGAGACAUCUCAAGCAGGUAGGAAACUAGGCCUUAGUGAUCCGACGGCGCUGAGUGGAAGGGCCGUCGUUCAACGGAUAAAAGUUACUCUAGGGAUAACAGGCUGAUCUCCCCCAAGAGUUCACAUCGACGGGGAGGUUUGGCACCUCGAUGUCGGCUCAUCGCAACCUGGGGCUGAAGUAGGUCCCAAGGGUUGGGCUGUUCGCCCAUUAAAGCGGUACGUGAGCUGGGUUCAGAACGUCGUGAGACAGUUCGGUCCAUAUCCGGUGCAGGCGCAAGAGCAUUGAGAGGAGCCUUCCUUAGUACGAGAGGACCGGGAAGGACGCACCGCUGGUGUACCAGUUAUCGUGCCAACGGUAAACGCUGGGUAGCCAAGUGCGGAGCGGAUAACCGCUGAAAGCAUCUAAGUGGGAAGCCCACCUCAAGAUGAGUGCUCUCAUGGAGUUAAUCCAGUAAGGUCACGGGCAGAACACCCGUUUACUAGGCGCUAGGUGGAAGAGCAGCAAUGUUUGCAGCCAAGGCGUGCUAACAGACCGAGGGCUUGACCC